CUUUUUGCACCAAUUGAAUUUUCGUGAUUUGGCGCAAUUUGAGUCAGACUGCGAAAGCUAACCCUUUAACCCAAAACUAUCUCUUCCCCGGCUCCUCUCUUUUUCAACAGAUUGAAUUGAAAGCUGAC
ensembl:ncRNA E01G6.9 ncRNA